GUGGGGAAUAUUGGACAAUGGGCGCAAGCCUGAUCCAGCCAUACCGCGUGGGUGAAGAAGGCCUUCGGGUUGUAAAGCCCUUUUGUUGGGAAAGAAAAGCAGCGGGCUAAUACCUUGCUGUUCUGACGGUACCCAAAGAAUAAGCACCGGCUAACUUCGUGCCAGCAGCCGCGGUAAUACGAAGGGUGCAAGCGUUACUCGGAAUUACUGGGCGUAAAGCGUGCGUAGGUGGUUGUUUAAGUCUGUUGUGAAAGCCCUGGGCUCAACCUGGGAACUGCAGUGGAAACUGGAUGACUAGAGUGUGGUAGAGGGUAGCGGAAUUCCCGGUGUAGCAGUGAAAUGCGUAGAGAUCGGGAGGAACAUCCAUGGCGAAGGCAGCUACCUGGACCAACACUGACACUGAGGCACGAAAGCGUGGGGAGCAAACAGGAUUAGAAACCCUAGUAGUCC
rnacentral:rRNA from 1 species